ACUCACUCACAAACGGAGGAGCAUAUAGAUAGAUAGCAGCAUCUUAUUCUUCCCAUUUCCAAACCCUAAACCCACGCACAAUGCCAAUGGCUUACUGCAUCACCAAAACGACGCCGCUCAACCUCCCUCCCUCCCUCCCCCGCUCCCCCACCCACCUCCUCCCCAAAACCACCACCCUCCCCCAAAGCCCCGCCGCUCCCACCACCAUCCACGCCCGCGCUCCCCGCCGCCUCACCCCAACCCCGCCGCGCUGCUCUCUCCCCGGCGCCGCAGUCGCAGUCGCGGAGGCAGCGCCGAAGCUGGGAAAACGAAGCGACAUAAAGAAGAUCCUGAUCCUGGGCGCGGGGCCCAUCGUGAUAGGGCAAGCGUGCGAGUUCGACUACUCGGGCACCCAAGCGUGCAAGGCCCUCCGCGAAGAGGGAUACGAAGUCAUCCUCAUUAACUCCAACCCCGCCACCAUCAUGACCGAUCCCGAAACCGCCGACCGCACCUACAUCACCCCCAUGACCCCCGACCUCGUCGAGCGCGUCCUCGCCUCCGAGCGCCCCGACGCCCUCCUCCCCACCAUGGGCGGCCAGACCGCCCUCAACCUCGCCGUCGCCCUCGCCGAGAGCGGCGCCCUCGAGAAAUACGGCGUCGAACUCAUCGGCGCCAAGCUCGACGCCAUCAAGAAGGCUGAGGACCGCGAGCUCUUCAAGCAGGCCAUGAAGAACAUCGGCAUCAAAACCCCUCCCUCCGGCAUUGGCACCACUCUCGACGAAUGCAUUCAAAUUUCCAACGAAAUUGGGGAGUUUCCGGUCAUUGUUCGCCCCGCCUUCACCCUCGGCGGCACCGGCGGAGGAAUCGCCUACAAUAGAGAAGAUUUGCUGGAAAUUUGCAAGGCGGGGCUCGCUGCUAGCUUGACCAACCAGGUUUUGAUUGAGAAGUCGCUUCUUGGGUGGAAAGAGUAUGAGCUUGAGGUUAUGCGGGAUUUGGCUGAUAAUGUUGUUAUUAUUUGCUCCAUUGAGAAUAUUGACCCUAUGGGGGUUCAUACCGGGGAUUCUAUCACCGUUGCGCCGGCGCAGACUUUGACGGAUAAGGAGUACCAGCGGUUGAGGGAUUACUCAAUUGCUAUAAUUAGAGAGAUUGGAGUGGAGUGUGGUGGCUCUAAUGUGCAGUUUGCGGUUAAUCCCGAGAAUGGGGAGGUCAUGGUGAUUGAGAUGAACCCCAGGGUUUCGAGGUCUUCGGCCUUGGCAUCGAAGGCCACCGGGUUCCCCAUUGCCAAGAUGGCGGCGAAAUUGUCCGUGGGGUAUUCUUUGGAUCAGAUACCGAAUGAUAUAACGAAGAAGACGCCUGCUAGUUUUGAGCCUUCUAUUGAUUAUGUGGUUACAAAGAUUCCUCGGUUUGCUUUUGAGAAGUUUCCUGGGUCUCAGCCAAUAUUGACAACACAGAUGAAAUCAGUUGGCGAGGCUAUGGCUGUAGGGCGGACUUUCCAAGAGUCGUUUCAAAAAGCAGUACGCUCUCUAGAGCAUGGAUAUGCUGGAUGGGGGUGUGGACAAGUGAAGGAGUUGAACUAUGACUUGGAGCAGUUGAAGUAUAGCCUCCGAGUACCUAACCCGGAGCGCAUCCAUGCUAUCUAUGCUGCAAUGAAAAGAGGGAUGGAGAUUGAUGAAAUCUUUGAGCUGAGUUACAUUGACAAAUGGUUUCUCACGCAGCUCAAGGAGCUGGUUGAUGUGGAAAGUUUCUUGCUGUCUCACAGUUUGUCGGAUUUAACAAAUGUUGAUUUUUACGAGGUGAAGAGAAGAGGGUUUAGUGAUAAACAGAUAGCAUUUGCAACUAAAACCACCGAGAAAGAAGUGCGCUAUAAGCGAUUGUCUCUGGGUGUUACUCCAGCAUAUAAGAGAGUUGAUACCUGUGCAGCUGAAUUUGAAGCUAAUACUCCUUACAUGUAUUCUUCUUAUGAUUUUGAGUGUGAAUCGGCUCCCACUACAAAAAAGAAGGUCUUAAUUUUGGGUGGAGGACCCAAUAGAAUUGGUCAAGGGAUUGAGUUUGACUACUGUUGUUGUCAUGCAUCAUUUGCUCUUCAGGAAGCAGGAUAUGAGACUAUCAUGGUGAACUCAAACCCUGAGACAGUCUCCACAGAUUAUGACACUAGUGAUCGUCUAUACUUUGAACCCUUGACCGUUGAAGAUGUUUUGAACAUUAUUGAUUUGGAAAGGCCUGAUGGUAUCAUUGUACAAUUUGGAGGUCAAACACCAUUGAAGUUAUCUCUCCCCAUACAGCACUACCUAGAUGAACACAAGCCGGCAUGUGCUAGUGGGGUUGGUCACGUACGCAUUUGGGGAACAUCUCCUGAUUCCAUAGAUAUUGCCGAGGACAGAGAGAGGUUCAACGUGAUGCUUCAUGAACUAAAGAUUGAACACCCAAAAGGAGGAAUUGCUAGGAGUGAAACUGAUGCACUUGCUAUUGCAGCAGAAAUUGGAUACCCAGUUGUUGUUCGUCCUUCUUAUGUUUUGGGUGGUCGAGCAAUGGAGAUUGUAUAUAGUGAUAGUAAACUGGUGACCUACCUUGAAAAUGCUGUUGAGGUGGAUCCAGAACGCCCUGUAUUAAUUGACAAGUAUUUAUCUGAUGCUUGUGAGAUUGAUGUUGAUGCCCUGGCUGACUCACAAGGCAAUGUGGUAAUUGGUGGGAUAAUGGAGCACAUUGAACAGGCUGGUAUACAUUCCGGUGAUUCUGCCUGCUCUAUUCCCACCAGAACUGUUCCAGCUUCUUGCUUGGAGACAAUCAGGUCAUGGACGGAAAACUUGGCUAAACAACUGAAUGUUUGUGGGCUCAUGAAUUGUCAGUAUGCAAUAACUCCAUCAGGGGAUGUAUUUUUGCUUGAGGCCAACCCUCGAGCUUCCCGUACAGUUCCAUUUGUAUCAAAAGCAAUUGGCCACCCCUUGGCUAAAUAUGCUUCGCUUGUCAUGUCUGGAAAGACUCUCCAUGAUAUACAGUUUACAAAAGAGGUUAUCCCUAAAUAUGUGUCAGUCAAGGAAGCAGUUCUUCCUUUUUCAAAGUUCCCAGGCUGUGAUGUGUUUUUAAGUCCUGAGAUGCGAAGCACUGGUGAGGUCAUGGGUAUUGACCCUUCAUAUAAUACUGCAUUUGCUAAGGCUCAAAUAGCUGCUGGCCAGAAGUUGCCACUUUCUGGUACUGUGUUCCUUAGCUUGAAUGACUUGACCAAGCCUCACCUUCAGAAGAUUGCAAAGGCGUACAUUGAGAUUGGAUUUCAGAUUGUUGCUACUAGUGGAACAGCUCAUACUCUCAAUUUAGCUAAAAUCCCGGCGGAGCGAGUGCUGAAGUUGCACGAAGGGAGGCCUCAUGCCGGUGACAUGAUUGCCAAUGGAGACAUUCAGCUGAUGGUGGUAACCAGUUCAGAUGAUGCACUUGAUCGGAUAGAUGGUAUGGCACUGAGAAGGAUGGCUUUGGAUUACAAGGUUCCUAUUGUGACAACAGUUAAUGGAGCUAUGGCAACUGCUGAAGCAAUAAAGAGCUUGAAGUCCAACUCUAUCAGAAUGAUCGCUCUUCAGGACUUCAUUGAUGGUGAAUAUAAGGAGUGAGAAAUUUUUGCAGUCAACCUCUUUCUCUCUGAAUAGUUUAGGCGAUAGACACUACUUACCCUGAGGUUGUACAAUUUGCUAGAGUUGGGAGUGGCGGACGAAUCUCUAUGGAAUAGAGAAUGAAAGAUCAUGUAGUCUGUGUCCUGACUCCUGAUAUAAAGCAUUUGUGUAAAAGAUUUUGUAGUAUUUGGAUUUCUGCUGCUUAAUAAUUAUUUUCAUUUUUAAAAUCUUGCCACGUGCACUUGGUACUGCUGCUUAGCCUUUUCAUUUAUAUAUAUAGCAAUCGCAAAUUAAAUAUUGCGAGUAGUAUAAUUUUAAUGUUAAA